rnacentral:snRNA from 1 species
AUCACUUCUCAGCCUUUUGGCUAAGAUCAAGUGUACUUUGAAAAAUAUGCCUUUGUGUAUUGCCAUUCAAUAUACUUUGUCCACUGAUUCAUCACUUACAAUGAUUUCAUAUCUUAGCUACGGUGAAUAAUGUUGCAGUGAUCAUGGGAGUACAGAUAUAUCUUCCAGAUGAUAAAAUUUUU